rnacentral:lncRNA from 1 species
AUAAGGGUGGGGUAUGGGGUUAUAAAUAAGGGAUAGAUCUAAGCAUGAAGUGAUUGAUUUUUCAUUACCCUUUCUCUCUUCAUCUUGCCACCCAAAAGAAGAGCUUCUCCUCUUCUUGGUGCCACCCAAGAGGAAGACCCUGUUCUUCCUCCCUCGUCCAUCAUCUCAUUCAUCGUUUUCUUCCUGAUAUUUUGAGAACAAAAGCAGAAGAAGUCAUAUUUAGUUUGAUGGGAGAA